ensembl:lncRNA PDE6B-AS1 PDE6B antisense RNA 1
AAAACAGCGGAAGGUCUGUUAUGAUCUAAAAUGGCCUCUGUGGCCCUGAGGUGAGCUUUUAAGUAGGUAAAGCAGGGCAGCUGGGGGCUUCACUGAGGCACGUGGAGCUGGCCGGGAGGGCGGGACGUGGCAGAGACAAGGAGAAGCACACAUCGCCGCACCCAGUGAGGGCAAGGCUGUGGGGACUCCAGACAGCACGGGACUCACAAAGCCGCUUUCUGCCACGUAGCUUGGAAGGCCGCUGGCCAGGGCCCAGUGAUCGGCUGAGGGUGUGCUGUGGGCAGAGAGCAGGGGUCAGAUAGGCCACGCCGGGCUGGAUGUGCGCGUGCAGGAGUCAGAGGGACUGGAUGUCUGUGUGCAGGGGUGAGAGGGGCUGGUCUAGGCUGCACGUGUGUGUGCAGGGGUCAGAGGGGCUGGUCUGGGCUGCACGUGUGUGUGCAGGGGUCAGAGGGGCCAGGCUGCGCUGGAUGUAGGUGUACUGGGGUCAGAUGGACUGGGCGUGUGUGCAGGGGUCUGGGGGUCUCUGGCUCAUGUGCCAUCCUCAGCAUUUACUCUCUUCUCUGAGUGCCAGGGGGUUCAGGAGGCGAGGAGGCCAGGGCGUGGGUUGGAGGACGGCUGUGCUGCCUUCUUCCUCCUCCCCAGGCUGCCGUGCUGGGGCCCCUCCCUCUUGGGAACCCCUCCCUCUCCGGAGGCCGUAUGGCUUCAGCCUGCUUUCUAGGACUCAGCGUUGGUGCCUGCCCUGCCACCCUGACCCUGACUUGUGCUCAAGCCUGGCACCUGGAUCCUGGUUCCUGCUUGGGGCCUGGGGAUGGGGUCCCAAUAGGCUUAUGGGAUCACAGGGCCACUGGGCCACCAGCUGCCCCUCCCUUGGCUGGAGUCCUGCCCUGACCUCCGGACUGGAGUUCCCCUCCUCUUCCAGCCCCACGGGGCCAAGACUCGGCCUCCUGGCUGGAGGCUCCACUGUCUGGGUGGGGCUGGUGGUGCCAGGGUCAAAUCCUGGGGCCUUCAUGCUCAAUUGUUGCUGACGAGGCCGCCUGGACAGCUUGCCUGGUCCCCUGUAUGUCCACUCUGGAUGUCCACAGUGACUCGGGCUCCUCAGCAGCCCACGUCCUCCUCACCAUCUCCCAGAACAUUGGAGUCAGGGAAACAGAGGCGUGUGGACAGGCCCUGGGCCCCUCCCCUAAGACUCACCCGGCCAUCAGGCGUGCGUGGGCCCGAGUACGGCUGGGACUCUCCCAUCAGCACAGACCACACGUCAAAAAAUUCCUGGGCAGAGAAGAGGAGGCCCACGGAGUACCGCUCGCAGUUGAGGUAGGCCCGCACCGUGUAGAAGGCCUUGUGGAACUGCCUCUCGAUGUCCGUCAGCUCCUCAAACACCUUGUUGGCCGACCACAGCAGCACCUGGAGGGAGGGGCACACCUGUGGGCCUGUGGCCACUCCCACCCUCACGCCGGUCUGACCACAGCAGCAGGGGUUUAACUCAAGCCUGACACAGGUUUCAUCUGAGCUUGUGGGGCCCGGGAGCUGGCUGGCGGUGAGGCCUCGAGGCUGCGGUCGUGUCCCUGAUCACUCAGGAGUGGACGAGUGGAAAGUGGAAUCUGUCGCUUUGAGCUUGACAGGCAAACAUCCGACCAGCCCUUCCUCCGCCCGGCUGCUCCAGAACCACCUGCGGCGAGCAGGGCUUUGAGAACAUCGGGCCGUGGUUUCCGCACGUCAGGCCGCCUGUGGCCUCCGCCAAGCGUCUGAGAGUGAAGCAUUGCUGACGCACUCCACGAGGUCCUGGCCAGACCCCACUCAGGACAUCCCGCUGCACAGGCCCCUGGUUGCUGGGUCAGCGCUGCCACCAGGCUCAGACUCACCCCAGGGCCCUCCUUGGGCCACCUUUCUCUGCCUCCUUGGUCAAGGCCCAGACCCAGGCCCCACCAGGCCCUGCCUCCUCACACUCGCGGCGGCCGCUGGGUCUUCUACCGCAUGGUGCCAGCUCCCUCUCCUCCGCUGCGGUGUCCUAGCCCAGCUCUCUCCCUGCCAGGCCCUCUGAAGUUCCACCCCCUGGCACUCAGCUCAUGGUGGGAACAGGACCAGGCUCUCCUGUUGCCAAGGGCAGUGAGAUGUUCGUAGCU